rnacentral:rRNA from 1 species
CCUACGGGGUGCUGCAGUGGGGAAUAUUGGACAAUGGGCGAAAGCCUGAUCCAGCCAUGCCGCGUGUGUGAAGAAGGCCUUCGGGUUGUAAAGCACUUUCAGUGGGGAAGAAAGCCUUGGGGCUAAUACCCUCGAGGAAGGACAUCACCCACAGAAGAAGCACCGGCUAACUCCGUGCCAGCAGCCGCGGUAAUACGGAGGGUGCGAGCGUUAAUCGGAAUUACUGGGCGUAAAGCGCGCGUAGGCGGUCUGAUAAGCCGGUUGUGAAAGCCCCGGGCUCAACCUGGGAACGGCAUCCGGAACUGUCGGGCUAGAGGGCAGGAGAGGAAGGUAGAAUUCCCGGUGUAGCGGUGAAAUGCGGAGAGAUCGGGAGGAAUACCAGGGGCGAAGGCGGCCUUCUGGACUGACACUGACGCUGAGGUGCGAAAGCGUGGGUAGCAAACAGGAUUAGAGACCCCUGUAGUC